AGCGAACGCUGGCGGCAGGCUUAACACAUGCAAGUCGAGCGGGCACUUCGGUGUCAGCGGCAGACGGGUGAGUAACACGUGGGAACGUACCCUUUGGUUCGGAAUAACGCUGGGAAACUAGCGCUAAUACCGGAUACGCCCUUUUGGGGAAAGGCUUGCUGCCGAAGGAUCGGCCCGCGUCUGAUUAGCUAGUUGGCGGGGUAAUGGCCUACCAAGGCGACGAUCAGUAGCUGGUCUGAGAGGAUGAUCAGCCACACUGGGACUGAGACACGGCCCAGACUCCUACGGGAGGCAGCAGUGGGGAAUAUUGGACAAUGGGCGCAAGCCUGAUCCAGCCAUGCCGCGUGAGUGAUGAAGGCCUUAGGGUUGUAAAGCUCUUUUGUCCGGGACGAUAAUGACGGUACCGGAAGAAUAAGCCCCGGCUAACUUCGUG
rnacentral:rRNA from 1 species